rnacentral:rRNA from 1 species
GAGCGGCGUACGGGUGCGGAACACGUGUGCAACCUUGCCUUUAUCUGGGGGAUAGCCUUUCGAAAGGAAGAUUAAUACCCCAUAAUAUGUUGAAUGGCAUCAUUCGACAUUGAAAACUCCGGUGGAUAGAGAUGGGCACGCGCGAGAUUAGAUAGUUGGUGAGGUAAAGGCUCACCAAGGCGACGAUCUGUAGCGGGUCUGAGAGGAUGAUCCGCCACACUGGAACUGAGACACGGUCCAGACUCCUACGGGAGGCAGCAGUGGGGAAUUUUGGACAAUGGGCGCAAGCCUGAUCCAGCCAUGCCGCGUGUAUGAAGAAGGCCUUCGGGUUGUAAAGUACUUUCAGCGGGGAGGAAGGUGUUGUGGUUAAUAACCACAGCAAUUGACGUUACCCGCAGAAGAAGCACCGGCUAACUCCGUGCCAGCAGCCGCGGUAAUACGGAGGGUGCAAGCGUUAAUCGGAAUUACUGGGCGUAAAGCGCACGCAGGCGGUCUGUCAAGUCGGAUGUGAAAUCCCCGGGCUCAACCUGGGAACUGCAUUCGAAACUGGCAGGCUAGAGUCUUGUAAGGGGGGUAGAAUUCCAGGUGUAGCGGUGAAAU